AAAGAAAGCAAGGCUGCUCUAUACAUGUGCUGGGGCUGGGAAUGUUAAUCAGUGCCUCUAAGAAUUCUUCAGAAGCUUGGGAAGAAGUUGAUGAGUUCAAGGCCAGACCACGCUACACAGAGGGAUCCCAUUUCAAAGAAACAUGAAGUUCUACAGAGUUUCUUUCCCAAGAAUUUCUUGACACAUUUUCAGACUGGCUUUUGAAGUGCUCCCUAGAGAACCACUACAAGACAGCGACUGAUGUGCAGAAAACCCGCCGUUCACUACAGGAAAUCAUCAUUGGCACAGCCAUGGGGGCCCUUUCCAGAAGUUCCUUGGGGACUACCAUUCUAGGAAGGAAGAUGUCUCUCUCUUAGACUCCUCCAGAGGCCUGUCUUUCUGAUGUGGGAGCUAAUAAAGACAAAAAGAGCACUC
rnacentral:lncRNA from 1 species